GGGAUGACUGCUCCCGGCGUUACGUCUCAAAAUAAAGCUCUCUGAUUUGCUGAAAAAUUUUUAAAUUUAAAAAAAAACUCUCUAAUUGGCAGGAUGAAAUUUCCCAGCGAAUCAGAGAGCUUUAUUUUGUGACGUAACGCCGGGAGCCAUCAUCCC